rnacentral:rRNA from 1 species
GACGAACGCUGGCGGCGUGCUUAACACAUGCAAGUGGAGCGACGAAGCGGACUUCGGUCCGUGGCAGAGCCGCGAACGGGUGAGUAACACGUGGGUAACCUACCCCGAUGACCGGGACAACCCGAGGAAACUCGAGCUAAUACCGGAUGUUCUCGUUUCUUGUAAGGGAAUCGAGCAAAGAUAGCUUUUAGCCUUCGCAUCGGGACGGGCCCGCGGCCCAUUAGCUUGUUGGUGGGGUAACGGCCUACCAAGGCGACGAUGGGUAGCUGGUCUGAGAGGACGAUCAGCCACACUGGGACUGAGACACGGCCCAGACUCCUACGGGAGGCAGCAGUGGGGAAUCUUGCGCAAUGCGCGAAAGCGUGACGCAGCAACGCCGCGUGGGGGAAGAAGGCCUUCGGGUUGUAAACCCCUUUCAGUUGGGACGAAGCUUCGAGGGUUAAUAGCCUUCUGGAGUGACGGUACCUUCACAAGAAGCCCCGGCUAACUACGUGCCAGCAGCCGCAGUAACAC